GCCCCGAUAGUUCAGUGGAUAGAACAAGUCCCUCCUAAGGAUUAGACCCGCGUUCGAUUCGCGGUCGGGGCGCCA
rnacentral:tRNA from 1 species